rnacentral:rRNA from 1 species
UGAGGAAUAUUGGUCAAUGGGCGAGAGCCUGAACCAGCCAAGUAGCGUGCAGGAUGACGGCCCUAUGGGUUGUAAACUGCUUUUAUAUGGGAAUAAAGUGAGGGACGUGUCCCUUAUUGCAUGUACCAUACGAAUAAGGACCGGCUAAUUCCGUGCCAGCAGCCGCGGUAAUACGGAAGGUCCAGGCGUUAUCCGGAUUUAUUGGGUUUAAAGGGAGCGUAGGCUGUUUGUUAAGCGUGUUGUGAAAUGUAAGAGCUCAACUUUUAGAUUGCAGCGCGAACUGGCAGACUUGAGUGCGCACAACGUAGGCGGAAUUCAUGGUGUAGCGGUGAAAUGCUUGGAUAUCAUGACGAACUCCGAUUGCGAAGGCAGCUUACGGGAGCGCAACUGACGCUAAAGCUCGAAGGUGCGGGUAUCGAACAGG